GACGAACGCUGGCGGCGUGCUUAACACAUGCAAGUCGAACGGAAAGGCCCUGCUUUUGUGGGGUGCUCGAGUGGCGAACGGGUGAGUAACACGUGAGUAACCUGCCCUUGACUUUGGGAUAACUUCAGGAAACUGGGGCUAAUACCGGAUAGGAGCUCCUGCUGCAUGGUGGGGGUUGGAAAGUUUCGGCGGUUGGGGAUGGACUCGCGGCUUAUCAGCUUGUUGGUGGGGUAGUGGCUUACCAAGGCUUUGACGGGUAGCCGGCCUGGGAGGGUGACCGGGCACAUUGGGACUGAGGGACGGACCAGACUCCAACGGGAGGCAGCAGGGGGGAAUAUUGCACAAUGGGCGGAAGCCUGAUGCAGCAACGCCGCGUGCGGGAUGACGGCCUUCGGGUUGUAAACCGCUUUCGCCUGUGACGAAGCGUGAGUGACGGUAAUGGAUAAAGAAGCACCGGCUAACUACGUG
rnacentral:rRNA from 1 species